AACGAACGCUGGCGGCAGGCUUAACACAUGCGAGUCGAGCGCCCCGCAAGGGGAGCGGCAGACGGGUGAGUAACGCGUGGGAAUCUACCCAACUCUACGGAAUAACUCAGGGAAACUUGUGCUAAUACCGUAUACGCCCUUCGGGGAAGGAUUAUCGGAGUUGGAUGAGCCCGCGUUGGAUUAGCUAGUUGGUGAGGUAA
rnacentral:rRNA from 1 species